UUUGAACGCACCUUGCGCUCCUUGGUAUUCCGAGGAGCAUGCCUGUUUGAGUGUCAUUAAUAUAUAUAUCAACCUUCUCUUGUUGAGUGGGUUUGGAUGUGGGGGUUUGCUGGCCUCUUAAAGGGUUCAGCUCCUCUGAAAUGCAUUAGCAGAACAACCCUGUUCAUUGGUGUGAUAACUAUCUACGCUAUUGAAUGUGAGGGGCAGUUCAGCUUUCUAACAGUCCUUUGGACAAAUCAUCAUUAAUGUUGACCUCAAAUCAGGUAGGACUACCCGCUGAACUUAAGCAUAUCAAUAAGCGGAGG
rnacentral:rRNA from 1 species